rnacentral:rRNA from 1 species
CGGGACACGUGGUAUCCUGUCUGAAUAUGGGGGGACCAUCCUCCAAGGCUAAAUACUCCUGACUGACCGAUAGUGAACCAGUACCGUGAGGGAAAGGCGAAAAGAACCCCGGCGAGGGGAGUGAAAAAGAACCUGAAACCGUGUACGUACAAGCAGUGGGAGCACGCUUAGGCGUGUGACUGCGUACCUUUUGUAUAAUGGGUCAGCGACUUAUAUUCUGUAGCAAGGUUAACCGAAUAGGGGAGCCGAAGGGAAACCGAGUCUUAACUGGGCGUUAAGUUGCAGGGUAUAGACCCGAAACCCGGUGAUCUAGCCAUGGGCAGGUUGAAGGUUGGGUAACACUAACUGGAGGACCGAACCGACUAAUGUUGAAAAAUUAGCGGAUGACUUGUGGCUGGGGGUGAAAGGCCAAUCAAACCGGGAGAUAGCUGGUUCUCCCCGAAAGCUAUUUAGGUAGCGCCUCGUGAAUUCAUCUCCGGGGGUAGAGCACUGUUUCGGCAAGGGGGUCAUCCCGACUUACCAACCCGAUGCAAACUGCGAAUACCGGAGAAUGUUAUCACGGGAGACACACGGCGGGUGCUAACGUCCGUCGUGAAGAGGGAAACAACCCAGACCGCCAGCUAAGGUCCCAAAGUCAUGGUUAAGUGGGAAACGAUGUGGGAAGGCCCAGACAGCCAGGAUGUUGGCUUAGAAGCAGCCAUCAUUUAAAGAAAGCGUAAUAGCUCACUGGUCGAGUCGGCCUGCGCGGAAGAUGUAACGGGGCUAAACCAUGCACCGAAGCUGCGGCAGCGACGCUGAUGCGUUGUUGGGUAGGGGAGCGUUCUGUAAGCCUGUGAAGGUGUGCUGUGAGGCAUGCUGGAGGUAUCAGAAGUGCGAAUGCUGACAUAAGUAACGAUAAAGCGGGUGAAAAGCCCGCUCGCCGGAAGACCAAGGGUUCCUGUCCAACGUUAAUCGGGGCAGGGUGAGUCGACCCCUAAGGCGAGGCCGAAAGGCGUAGUCGAUGGGAAACAGGUUAAUAUUCCUGUACUUGGUGUUACUGCGAAGGGGGGACGGAGAAGGCUAUGUUGGCCGGGCGACGGUUGUCCCGGUUUAAGCGUGUAGGCUGGUUUUCCAGGCAAAUCCGGAAAAUCAAGGCUGAGGCGUGAUGACGAGGCACUACGGUGCUGAAGCAACAAAUGCCCUGCUUCCAGGAAAAGCCUCUAAGCAUCAGGUAACAUCAAAUCGUACCCCAAACCGACACAGGUGGUCAGGUAGAGAAUACCAAGGCGCUUGAGAGAACUCGGGUGAAGGAACUAGGCAAAAUGGUGCCGUAACUUCGGGAGAAGGCACGCUGAUAUGUAGGUGAAGCGACUUGCUCGUGGAGCUGAAAUCAGUCGAAGAUACCAGCUGGCUGCAACUGUUUAUUAAAAACACAGCACUGUGCAAACACGAAAGUGGACGUAUACGGUGUGACGCCUGCCCGGUGCCGGAAGGUUAAUUGAUGGGGUCAGCGCAAGCGAAGCUCUUGAUCGAAGCCCCGGUAAACGGCGGCCGUAACUAUAACGGUCCUAAGGUAGCGAAAUUCCUUGUCGGGUAAGUUCCGACCUGCACGAAUGGCGUAAUGAUGGCCAGGCUGUCUCCACCCGAGACUCAGUGAAAUUGAACUCGCUGUGAAGAUGCAGUGUACCCGCGGCAAGACGGAAAGACCCCGUGAACCUUUACUAUAGCUUGACACUGAACAUUGAGCCUUGAUGUGUAGGAUAGGUGGGAGGCUUUGAAGUGUGGACGCCAGUCUGCAUGGAGCCGGCCUUGAAAUACCACCCUUUAAUGUUUGAUGUUCUAACGU